rnacentral:rRNA from 1 species
UACGUAGGUGGCAAGCGUUGUCCGGAAUUAUUGGGCGUAAAGCGCGCGCAGGCGGUUAUGUAAGUCUGGUGUUAAAGACCGGGGCUCAACCUCGGUUCGCAUUGGAAACUGUGUAACUUGAGUGCAGAAGAGGAAAGUGGUAUUCCACGUGUAGCGGUGAAACGAGUAGAUAUGUGGAGGAACACCAUUGGCGAAGGCGACUUUCUGGUCUGUAACUGACGCUGAGGCGCGAAAGCGUGGGGAGCAAACAGG